AAUGAACGUUGGCGGCGUGGAUUAGGCAUGCAAGUCGCGCGAGAAAUUUCCUUCGGGAGAUGGACAGCGGCGAAAGGGAGAGGAAUAAGUAGAAAUCUGCCCUCGGGACGGGGAUAGCGGCGGGAAACUGCCGGUAAUACCCGAUAACAUCUUCGGAUCAAAUGGUGUGAUUCCGCCUGGGGAUGAGUCUACUUCCUAUUAGCUAGUUGGCGGGGUAAUGGCCCACCAAGGCAACGAUGGGUAGCGGGUGUGAGAGCACGAUCCGCCUCACUGGGACUGAGACACUGCCCAGACACCUACGGGUGGCUGCAGUCGAGAAUCUUCGGCAAUGGGGGAAACCCUGACCGAGCGACGCCGCGUGCGGGAUGAAGGCCCUCGGGUUGUAAACCGCUGUCGUAAGGGAACAAAUCUAUGAGGGUACUCUCUCAUAGUUGAGUGAUCUUAGGAGGAAGGACGGGCUAAGUUCGUG
rnacentral:rRNA from 1 species